rnacentral:rRNA from 1 species
AUUGAACGCUGGCGGCAGGCCUAACACAUGCAAGUCGAGCGGUAACACAGGGAGCUUGCUCCUGGGUGACGAGCGGCGGACGGGUGAGUAAUGUCUGGGAAACUGCCUGAUGGAGGGGGAUAACUACUGGAAACGGUAGCUAAUACCGCAUAAUGUCGCAAGACCAAAGAGGGGGACCUUCGGGCCUCUUGCCAUCAGAUGUGCCCAGAUGGGAGUAGCUAGUAGGUGGGGUAACGGCUCACCUAGGCGACGAUCCCUAGCUGGGCUGAGAGGAUGACCAGCCACACUGGAACUGAGACACGGUCCAGACUCCUACGGGAGGCAGCAGUGGGGAAUAUUGCACAAUGGGCGCAAGCCUGAUGCAGCCAUGCCGCGUGUAUGAAGAAGGCCUUCGGGUUGUAAAGUACUUUCAGCGGGGAGGAAGGUGUUGAGGUUAAUAACCUCAGCAAUUGACGUUACCCGCAGAAGAAGCACCGGCUAACUCCGUGCCAGCAGCCGCGGUAAAAC